GGGGAAUAUUGCACAAUGGGGGAAACCCUGAUGCAGCCAUGCCGCGUGUGUGAAGAAGGCCUUCGGGUUGUAAAGCACUUUCAGUAGGGAGGAAAGGGUGAGUCUUAAUACGGCUCAUCUGUGACGUUACCUACAGAAGAAGGACCGGCUAACUCCGUGCCAGCAGCCGCGGUAAUACGGAGGGUCCGAGCGUUAAUCGGAAUUACUGGGCGUAAAGCGUGCGCAGGCGGUUUGUUAAGCGAGAUGUGAAAGCCCUGGGCUCAACCUAGGAAUAGCAUUUCGAACUGGCGAACUAGAGUCUUGUAGAGGGGGGUAGAAUUCCAGGUGUAGCGGUGAAAUGCGUAGAGAUCUGGAGGAAUACCGGUGGCGAAGGCGGCCCCCUGGACAAAGACUGACGCUCAUGCACGAAAGCGUGGGGAGCAAAC
rnacentral:rRNA from 1 species